AUACAGUUUCUCUUUUCCAGAGGAAGUUCAACAUCACACUGGACCACAAAUCCCACAUUUUUCAGAAUCUCAAUGGAGCCAUAGAGGAAGUGGUCCUGAAGUUUGAGAAAUCCAGAGUCAGAGCUCGGAAUGUGGCCUAUGACACACUUCCUGUCGUUAUCCAUGGCAACGGCCCGACUAAGCUCCAGCUGAAUUAUCUGGGUAACUAUGCACCGUCGGCGUGGACGUAUGAACACGGCUGUGGGAUCUGUGACGA